rnacentral:lncRNA from 10 species
CUGCAGGACAAGUUCGAGCAUCUUAAAAUGAUUCAACAGGAGGAGAUAAGGAAGCUCGAGGAAGAGAAAAAACAACUGGAAGGAGAAAUCAUAGAUUUUUAUAAAAUGAAAGCUGCCUCUGAAGCACUGCAGACUCAGCUGAGCACCGAUACAAAGAAAGACAAACAUCCUCUGCUGCCCCCUGCCCCAUACACGUGAUGGAGCAGAAAACGUGCUGUGUGAACCUGUGACUUCAGGGCCUGUUGACGUGGUCGUGCUUGCAUACUCUCUGGACUGGACCUCACUGUGGGAACAACAAGAUCAACAAGAGGAGCAAGAACAACAUCAAGAGUCAGGGCCCGGGGGUCCUGACGGGUACAGGAUGGGUACAGACCCACACAGGAAUCCCAGAGUGUGUUCCACAGCAGGACACG